rnacentral:rRNA from 1 species
CAGUAGCCGCGGGAAUACGUAGGUGGCAAGCGUUGUCCGGAAUUAUUGGGCGUAAAGGGCUCGCAGGCGGACUGAUAAGUCAGGGGUGAAAUCCCAAGGCUCAACCUUGGAACUGCCUUUGAUACUGUUUGUCUUGAGUUCGAGAGAGGUAAGUGGAACUGCGAGUGUAGAGGUGAAAUUCGUAGAUAUUCGCAAGAACACCAGUGGCGAAGGCGGCUCACUGGCUCGAAACUGACGCUGAGGCGCGAAAGCGUGGGGAGCAAACAGGAUUAGAUACCCGCGUAGUCCCUGUCUCUUAUAC